AAAAAAAAAACUAAUAAUAAUAAAUCAAGAAACAGGAAAACACAAACUGUCCUUCCUUCUUUUUCAUGGAGCACCCACCACCAACCAUCUUCGUUUCCCCUGAACCCCCACCCUUCCCUGCACCUCCCAGAAGCGUAGAUUUAUCUCCUCUAGAGUUCAUUCUUGGCAUCAUCGCUGUUAUCACCAUCCCUGCCUUGAUC
rnacentral:misc_RNA from 1 species